AUGGCGGCGAGUGGGAGGCAUCCUGGCCCGUCUGCCCCAGGGGCUGGAGCAGGCUGUCCCUGUCGCCUGGCAGGGAGCUCUGCGAGGCUCUCAUUAGUCAGCCGCGCGGGGAGGAGCCGGGUGACCUUACGCUGGCUGGAGCCUCUGCGGCCAUUAGCCCCGGUCCCCUGGCGGCGCGCUGCCUCCAAGUUCCAGAGGCCUUUACAGAGCGGAUAUACCGAACUCCAGCCUGAAAUCGAGGGUCCACAGCACGAAUAAAGAUGCGGGCGUCCAUCAAUCUGCGACGGAGAGAUUCAGGGCACUGGCCGCUGACGUAGACCCAUGUGAGGUUGUGUUCCUGCCCACAAGCGUGCGGGGCUCUGUUCUGAGCACUUGGUGUCCCAAAUCCACUCCGUUCCCCAGAGUGAAGAUUAUAUGACUGAAUACAUAGGACUUGCUCAGGAUAGUGCUUCCCACACAUAGUUCCAGGUGGAAGAUGGUUUCAAGAGGUUUUGGUGACAGGUGAUAUCCACCUUUUCCAAUGAAGAAACUUCAAUCUUGGGGCUCCUGGAUGGCUUAGUUGGUAAAGCAACUGGCUCUUGGUUUUGGCUCAGGUCAUGAUCUCAGAGUCCUGAGACUGAGCCCUGUGAGCGCGGAGCCUGCUUGAGAUUCUCUCUCUCUCCCUCUGCCCCUCCCCCUCACCGGCAGGCUCGCUCUCACUCUCACUAUAAAAUAAAUAAGUCCUUAGAAACUAUUUCAAAAAAAUAAAGAAGACAAAAAACGUCAAGCUUAUCAACAUGAGGGACUCUUUCUCUCCAUCCAAAAAUCUUAAAAAGUUUUUAUUAUAGAAAUAACUCAUAUUGGUAAGAAAAACAAACAAAAUAAUAUAAAAUGUAGAGGUCUGAAUCCCAAACCCCCACUGUAUGUAAUAUACAAUAGUUUGCUGUUUUUUCCUCAGGUCAUGCAUAGUGUAUAGUACAUUUCAUUUAUAAACCUAUAAAAAAUGUACUUUAUUUUUAUUUUUUAAUUUUUUAAAACGUAUUUUAAGCAAAAACGGGAUUAAAGUGUUUUUCAACGUGCUUCUUUCAACCAGUUCCAUGUCUGCUCACAAAAAUCCACCUUGUCUUCUCUAAUGGCUGUAUGUACUUAUGUACAUAUGGAUGCAGAAUCAUUUGUUUAACUGGUUCUUAUAAAUGGUUAUUUAAGGUUGUUUUUCCAAUAAUUUCAGAGGCCAGAAAUUGUUCCUCAGUUUGCUUGCUAAGGAAAAUAGUUGUUAAGCUGUUCUUUGUAACCCUGCUUUUGUGGGAAGGAUAAAGACUUUUUGUUCUGAAAUCCCAUGGGCACAGAGUCUCAGCUUUGCCAUUGUUAGCGUCUGUGUUGCAUAGUCGAGCCCUGGUUACUGUGCGGGCUGGGGAUCCCCUGAGCCCUGCCCUGGAGAGGGAGCUCUCUUCCUGGGGCCUCCUGCUGGCCCCCUUCUUCCAAGAGGAAGAACCAUCUAGCAAGGAAUCCCUCCCCAGGACUGUGGAUCAUGCUGAGUGAGGGAGGCAUCACUGUCGAUCCUUUUAUAGCAGGAGCUGGCAAGCUGUUUCUGUAAAGGGCCAGACAGCAGAAGAUUUCAGGGUUUGCAGGUCACACGGUCUCCAGUGCAACUGCCCAACUCAUCGGCUGUGGAAGAGAAAGCCGCUCAGGACAAAUGUGAAUGAAUGGGGUGUGGCCGCUUUCUGGACGAUGAAGUUUGAAUCUCAUAUAAUUUCAUGUGUCACAGAACAUCCUUCUUCUUUUGACUCUCCCCCAACCAUUUUCGAAAUGUAAAAACUGUUCUUUGCUUGCAUACGAAAAUAAGCAGAGGCACCAAUUUGGCACCUGGA